GCAGUCCAAGAAUAUUAGUCAAUGCUCUCAUGAGUGAACUAGCUAACUGAAAUCAUUUGUGUGUCACAAGUGAUAACGUAAAGGAAAAUAAUGAUAUUACUUUACUAAUAGUGUCGUCCAAAACUGGUGCCAGAAGACUCGGUAAGGCCAGAGACGCAAACGUUAAUCCUCUUUAUCAGGCGUAAAGGGUUUGUAGGCUGCUUUAAAAGUUUUCAGACUUAGAAUAGUUAUUUUUUUUUUAUAUUAUAAAAAUAUAAGUUCGGAGAUGAAUCAAAGCUAGAAUCAAAUAGAGGUUGUAAAUAGAAUACCUAGAGUAGGGCUGAUAUCCGUAAAUCCUAGGUAGAAUACUCAAAGCGAAGGCUUUCUUCCAUUAAUGAUUGACGCUGAGAAACGAAGGUUAGGAUAGGAAAUAGGAUUAGAUACCCUAGUACCCCUCUCUGUCAACGAUGAAUGGUAGUUAUUAUUAUAUGAACAUAGUAGUAGCGAUGUUAACGCGAUAACCAUUCCGCCUUGUCAGCACACUUGCAAAAU
rnacentral:rRNA from 1 species